GAGAAUAUAAGUAAUUAGUUCAUGUUAAGAAAAUGAUUUUAUACUGUGCAUUUAUCUGGAUCCAGAAGUCCUAAACUGUCUCCUAAUGAGUCACUUCAACAUCCCAAAACUAAAUCACAACAACCAAUGAAGACAGUGUUUAGGAUGUUUCAAUGUGUUUGUUUUUUUGUGCACAGCAUUAUCUAGUACAUGUACCCAUUUUUGCUGUUAUUAUUGUCACACAGAUUUGCAUGGAUGAGGCCAUUAGUGGAUUCCAUCUCUGUUAUGAAUACAUAAGCAAGCCACACUUUCAUCUCUCCUACAAGGCUAAUGGGAUAGAAAGCAUACGAAGCAUAAACAAAGAAAUUCAGUGCCACAGUGAUGACCUGACUGAUGAGCUGCUUGUCAGCCACAUGUAGCUUUUAAAGUCAAGCAGGUGUGUUAGAACAUUGCUUACCUGGACUUUAUUGUAUUUACCAGUGUGCAGUUUAAAAGGCUCAUUUUAAUGAAAUGGGACGAAACUGAAAACAUUUUUCACUGAUAUUUUUGGGCAUUAGUGGCCUUUAUUCAAUAGUAACCUGUGAGGAAAUGGGCUGGAGAGAGAAGUGGUCGACAUGUAACAAAUCGGCUGAAACUGGGAAUUGAACCCAGGGCAACCAUGUUGAGGACUGCAGCAUCUACCCACUGAUCCAUCCAUAACCCACCUUUUCAGUGAUAUAUUAAGGUAAAAAUUGAAGAUUUCUCUACUACAUGCAGCUCAGGUAACAUAGUUCACCCCUCUACAUUCAUAUAAAUCGCAAUUUAUUUCCAAUAAAUUAGAAUGUACAUCCCAAAUAGUCGUGUUUAUCAGAAUAAAAGUACCUUUUGAAAAUAACCUUUAUGUAUAUACUUGGCAUACUUUUCAUCAAGUUCAUAUGUAUAUCUUUCUGUCUUCACAAGAACUUAAUAUUGAUCCCUAAUCAUCUAAUCAUUUCAUCCAUUUCUAUAGCUCAAUCUUAUCUUAAACCUAAGCAUUAAUAGCACAUGUCUAAACCUAAACCUGAGCUAAACUCAAUUCACACCUUAGUCCUAAACCUAGCCCAAGCCCAACAACAGCACCGGAACAGUCAGUCCUCACUACAUAGGUAUUUAUUGUAAAAUGGGUCUUAGGUGAGAAAUGCUAAAACACACAUACACACACCCCAACACACACACACUUCCCAUGUCUCCUCCUUUCAUGCCUCAAUGACUAUUCAUUCAAUCUCACUACCUUCAUUUUUUCAAAAAGACAUGCAAUCCUUUGCACAUUAGAAAAUCUUAGUGCAGCAGCAUAUUGGAGCAGCCUACGGUAGCCAUAUGCUGCAGGUAAAGUUCAGUUUAUGAACCAGAGCAGAAUGGUCUUGCAUGUAUUAAAAUCACAGCUUUGUGUAAGCACUGGAAAGAAAUAACAGCAACCAUAUGGCCCUUUUAGAGAAGUAUAAAAAGAAAGAUGGAGGACAGUUUGAAAAGUGGAUAAUGAUUUAUACAUUAUAUUCACAUAAAGACAGAGAUGAUAAAGAAAGCAGGCUGGGUCCUAGGAAAUAUGACUCUAUGACAUUGAAACUCCAUCUAAUGGUUUGAAUGGGUAAUGUAACGCAUCAUUAUGUUCACAUUUUGUAUUCAAAUAUAAUGAUUAUAUGCAAUUAAACUGACCUCAGAGAGACAUGAUCAGUUGAAUGAUAAUAGUAUCUAAGAGAGCUUCUUGACUCAGACUUCUAUGACUUUUGUUGUUUUAUUCUUCUCUUCUGAAUUGAAAAUGUGUUUUGUGUAGUCAGCAUUUUUUCCUAGAUUGUACGGUCAUUAACUAUGUUUCCAUCCAAUUGUCACGCUGAUUUUGAGCAAACUUCUAAAAUGUUGGGGAAAAACGCAAAUUAGGCGUGUUUCCGUCUACUGGUUUAGAGUGAAUCAAUCAGGCCAUGCAAAGUGUGAUUUUGUCAGAUGUUGAUGUUAUGCAUGGCUGUAAGAAACAGGAAGUAGAGAUUGCUAACUCGUACAGACCACACAUUUCAGACAAGUGAAGAGAGGUUUUCAGGAAUGUGUUGUAGCUUUUCUGUUAUGUUAACUAAUAUUGCCGAUGUUACAUGCUGUCCUGAGAUGUUGAGAAAGAAAUGCAAUUCUGACAGACGCUGACAAUAAACACAGCUGGUCAGUUGUGAGGUGAAUGUUCGCUACAUCAGUACUUAUUCAGUAAAUGUGUUUCCAUCUUCCCUUCGGCACAUUAACUCUUUUUCGGAAAUACCAAAAACCAAUUGAAAAUUGCACAACUGAAAAAAAUCUUGUCAUUUUCAAAGAUACUUCAAAAUCUGCAUAGAAAAACAUAGAUGGAAGCAUGGUUAUUGCCAUAAAAACUAGCCAAGUCACUUCUACCCCCACCACCUCUGGUGGAUGAUUCAUAAGUGUACUUGGUACCAGAUCCCACUGAGCCAAAGGUCACCAAUCAGUUUAGAAAUGACUAUUUCAGACCUGCUGUGUUACGUUAAAGACACACAGGUAAACAGAGAGGCAAACCUGUCAUUUGUUCACCUUCAAACUGUUUUACGAAAAUACCAAAAACCAUCUCAAAAUUGCAAAACAGAAGAAGUUAUUUAAAAUUUUGUCAUUUUCAUUGAUACUUCAAGGUAAGGAAUUGGAUCAACUGCCAACGGAGGCUUCAGGACAUGGAUAAUAAUAAGAUUAUCAUUUCUGUCUUGCUAUGUCUGACGGGAGACUGAUAAAGACAUUUUCCAUGGAUUUAAAUGUAAAUGAAGGGAAUUUUGUGGGAACAUUUAGAGAGAACAUCAUAAUGCUGAACAUGAACAGUCCUCAACUUCAGUGAUUCUUUGAACCGAAUGUCUGCUGAUGGUUUUGUGGGUUUGGAGCCGACUGAGGCUAAAUGGACAUCUGCUGAGAUGACAGCUCUGUGUGAGACAGGCAGCCGCCCCGUCGCCCUGGGAACCAAUCUCUCAAAGCUUCCUGUCCGUUUUAAACCUGCCUUUCCACGCAGUCGGCUAUCGGGUACAAAUAGUCCUUCUGUUCCUGUUUGCCAAACAUUUUAUACCUCUUGCUGAAAUAUUUCAGGAGCUCAGAUUCUUCAUUGAUUCCAUCCUCCACCCUUCCAGACAUCCCAUCCUCUGUUCAUCCCUUACCUCUUCCUUUUCAUUCCUCAUCUUAUUCCCACACUUCCUCCUUCUUCCAUUCCGCCUCUAUCCAUCCUCAUUUCCUCCCUCCCCCCCCAACCUAAAAGAGAGGAUAUAGAGAGGCGAGACCUCUUGUCGGCGGUGGGAAAAAAGGGAGAGACCAUCAAGGCGCAGACAGAGGGAUGAAGCGAAAGUAUAGGUUAGUAGGUAGCAGUAUAGGCCUGUUCCAUCCUUCCUCCCCCUCUCCUCACGCUCUGCUUCCCCCCUACCCCCGUUCACUGUGCCAGGGUGGUAUGAACUGCUGGAUUACAAAACAGCCCUCCCAUGUGUCUGCCUGUUCUCUGUGCCAGCCGAGAGACAAGCGAUACCAUGCUCCCGGAGCGCUGCUGAGGCUGAGGGGUGGGAGGGAGGGAAGAAAGAUGGAGAAAGUGAAGAAAAGAGUGAGAGAAGCAGAACGAAGAAAGUGGGAGGACAGAGAAAUCAGAUGAGCAGGGCUGUAGGGACAAGAAGACAUGGAAUGGGUAGACAAAAGAUGUAGAGAAAGGAGGAGAGAGAAAGAGAGAGAGGGGGGGGAGGAAAAGAAGAAGGGAGGUUGGAGUGAUGGCAGUUGAAAGCUUUGGGAGGAGCGGAGCACUGAGCAGCAUCAGCCAGCGCUGUGAGAGCAUGUUGAGCCUGCAGGGACAGCCGGGGGGUCAGCUGUCAGCCGUAAGGACUGAAGUCAGCUGAGCGAGCGGAGAAACGGCGGGGCGUUGGAAGAAGCUUAAAAGACGGACGCCUUCACCAGAGAUGUGAAGAGAGUGUGUAACUUUCUAACGACACAAAGAGGAGGAGAUGGAGACAAUCUGAAGGCCACAUGAAGUUUGAAGAUCUGUAGUGACUGACUCUGCAGAACCUGGCGACCUCUUCACACUAUGUGCUUCAGGAUCCACUGACCCCGCCCCAUCAGUUUACAUGACCUACCACUUCAUGACUGAGUUGCUGUCGUUCCCAAACACUUCCAUUUUCUUAUAAUGCAGCUGACAGUUGACUGGAAUAUUUAGGAGCGAGGAAAUUUCACAACUAAUUUGUUGCACAGGAGUCAUCCUACCACAGUUCUGUGGGCUGUGGGAAGGUGUAGAGUAUCCUGGGGGCAUGUUUAUUAUUAAUGAUUUGAAAUAAAUAAAAUUAUUAUUAUUCUUGCCAUAAGAGUAAAAUAAACACAUGAAUUACCACCACUCCUAUGAAUAACUAAUAAAACCAAACUCUAUGUUUGUCAGUACCAUUCAUUAAACCAGCAGUUGUUUACUUCUUUACCUUGAACAUCAUUAAUUGUGGUACCAUUUAAAAUCAUGUUUUCCUGCUGAGUGUACAAUCAGAGGAAUCAUGCCAGAUUAUGAUUGGUAGAAACCAGAUCUUAGGCCUCCCAGGGGCCCGGGGUUACGGUUUUACUAAAUCUCCUCUUGCUGCAAACCUAGUUUUUCUGACAUGAUUGGAGUGUUCCCACUCAGCGGGGCUGCUUCAAGGUGGAUUAGGGCUUGCUGCUGUGAGACCAAAGUUAUUCUCAGCUUCAUCAUAACCCUGUCCUCAAUUCCAAAGCACUUUAUAAAUAGAUGAGCAAAUUGAGCGCUGCUACAUUUAUGGACUGGGCCUUUUGUUUCACAGAGCAACUCUGCGAGAUUUUAUCUUUAAUUGGGAAUUUUGUAAAAGAUGAACUGCUGCAGUGCUGAGGUCAAGAUUCUAAAUUACAUAUUUCCAACAUUUAAUUGCUGAUCAAAUUGAUUUGCCUAUAUUGUCUUUUCUAUAGGUUAAAUCGAGGUGCGUGUGUGUGACCUGUUUCACAUCAGAUCAUCAGCCUGUAAAAUGUGAAAGCAGAAUUCCUGUGUGCAAACUGCCCCCCAGUGGAGAGACUGUGAAUGACGUGGAAACUGGUCCCAGUAUUUGUUGAGGCUCCAACCUGGGUACUGCUGCAGCUAUGUGUAUGGACAAGGUAACCCUGGACAGAACUGUACUGCAGAGGGGAGAUGGCUUCAAAUGUUACAGAAUCUUUGCUGGUUCAGCAGGUGCCGUGUGUGUGUGUGUGUGUGGGUGUGUGUUAUGUUUCUGUCUGUGGAGAGAAGUUCUCGUCACACUGCCUCUGCAUCAUCUCACAGCGCCGUGGUGAAGGCUUGUGUGGGUGGGUGGGUGGGGAGGGUCAGCUGGUGUUGUGAAUCAGGCCGCUGAGGUGUCAGGGACGGCUUCUUCACAACACCAGGGUUCCUCCCAGCCAUUUCCUGCUGGAAAACAUCAGUGAUCUGCAAGAGAGCUGGGCUGAAAUAAACCCUGAAGUCAUUUCCACAGUUGGAAUAAAAUGCAUUUUUCAGUCUGAUAUAAAUCGACACAACAGCCAUGAGUUUGCUUUGAUUUUUGUUGGAAUGUUGAUGUUAUUGAAAACUAUUUAACCAGUAUGAAUUAUAAACUGAACUUGACUUCAUUAUCUGCAUUUCCACUGACCAUAUAAUUGCAAAAAUUGUAAUUACAAAAAUAGAUUAGCUUAAUGGAGACACGCCAAUUAAAAACCCCCAAAAAACCCACAUUUUUUUAAUUAAAAGAUUUUGUCCUAGAUGUACUUAAAUUUGUGUAUUUUACAAAACUGCAAUGGAAACAUUUUUUGCAUCAUGGGAAUGAUGUGACCAGCAGCCGGAUGUUACUACUGGCAAAAAAGAAGAUGACGAUGACAGGAAGUGGUAGGAGGAUUAUGACUUUGCCUUUUUUUAAAAUAUCACAUGAACUGACUUAUGUAUGUGUGAUUUUAGCUGUGUUUUGUAUUUAACAGAAACUCUGCAACUGCAAAAUUGUGUUGUUUUUUUUUACAUUAGCAGAAUACUGAUAAAGUUUUGCGCACAUUUGUAAUGGAAACACAUCUACUGUUUGAUAACUAUGAUAAAUGUGGAGUGGAUGUAAUUGACUCGGAAUGUCUGUAUGACUGAAUUAAAUUGAUAUUAUUUGUAAAGUGUCCUGAGAUGGUCACGUGUUCAAUAAACUCAAUUAAAAAUAUGA